UACACACCGCCCGUCACACCAUGGGAGUUGGAUUCACUCGAAGGCGUUGAGCUAACCCGCAAGGGAGGCGGGCGACCACAGUGGGUUUAGCGACUGGGGUG
rnacentral:rRNA from 1 species